rnacentral:rRNA from 1 species
UACGAAGGGGGCAGGCGUUGUUCGGAAUUACUGGGCGUAAAGGGCGCGUAGGCGGCUUAUCAAGUCAGGCGUGAAAUUCCCGGGCUCAACCUGGGGGCUGCGCUUGAUACUGAUUGGCUUGAAUGCGGGAGAGGAUAGUGGAAUUCCCAGUGUAGAGGUGAAAUUCGUAGAUAUUGGGAAGAACACCGGUGGCGAAGGCGGCUAUCUGGCCCGUAAUUGACGCUGAGGCGCGAAAGCGUGGGGAGCAAACAGG